GUUGUUGAAAGAGAUUUGUUUAUAGUAGAAUAAAAUAGCAUACAUGUCAAUCUGGUUCUAUAGUUGCUUUAUUACUGGUUAUUUCGGUUGAAUCACGAUUGGAAGUAGGAUAUUUACUGGUUCAAAAGAAAAAAAGAUGGGAAUUCGGGGCAUGACAAAUCUUAUGAUUGAGGAGGAAAUCUAUCCACCCCCUGAAGGUAGAACUAAUAUUGAAGAGAAAAUCGAAGAAUGAAAAAGUGAAAACCCUGGUAAAACUCCCAAAAUAGUUAUUGACUUUAGGAGCGCAACCAAUUGGUGUGUUGCUAAGACAGAAGAUGUUAUUUGUGGUGGCCGUCAUCAAAUUCUUAUCGAAAAUUGGGGGAACAAUUUACGAGCACUGAAGAGCACUGGAUGUGACUUGGUGUUUUUUUCCGAUUUGAAAAUUGAAAGAUCGAAAAUCAGUAAAAAAAUUGGAACGGUUUGGAAAAAGACAAGGACAUCUACAAGAAUGUAUAUGAUCUAAUGAAGAAGGGUACAAUGUUGAAUGAAAUUAUAUGGGAAAUGGAAAUCGAUAAAAAGGAAAGAGAAAGACUGAAUCGGGUAAUAAAAUCGGUCAACCAUGCACUAGCCGUCAAAGCACAAACAUUUGGCGACUUUUAUUAUUCAGCUCAUCAUGAUUGUGAUUGGGAACUAGCAAAAUAUGCUAAAGAAAACGAUGCAUUGGCCAUUAUUUCACAGGAUACAGACUUUCUCAUUUUCGAAGGAUCAUGGAAGUUCUGGUCAUCUGAUGAUUUUAUAUUUGAAGCAAAUGGCAUAAUAACCACUUAUGAAUAUGAUCGAAACUACCUUGCACGAAAACCUUUUUCCCUGGAAAAUCAUCAAUUACCACUUUUUGCUACCCUAUGUGGCAAUGAUAUUACUAGUAAUAUAUAUAAAGGAAGACGCCUCACAAGUGGUGUCUGUCAAAUAGUUGCCAAGCGUGUGCGUGGGGUGAAAAAGGAAAAAAUUUCUCUUUCAAAUGCUGAUAUUGAACAGUAUGUCGAAAAUGUCAUUAAGCCCAAAGAUGUACAUAAAACAAUUCAGUUGAUUCAAGAAAGUCUUGAUUCGUACAAUCUCGACGCUGUUCCUAAGAAUGAUCCAAUCGAUCCAAUCGAGCAAAAACUUUUAAAUGGUGACAUUGGCAUUUUUCGAGCUUAUAUGGAGGCUAAAAACCCGAUUGAGCCGAUUGCUAUCUGUCCCACUGCAUAUGUGUGAUAUGCCCAGCGACGAACAAAUAAGAAUCAGCAAUAUCUUCAUGGACUGGAAGUUACGAAGUGCUGGCGUUAUACAUAAAGGAAUAAACGACAAAUCUUUGAUGUUCGAAUGUUUAAUGAAGGAUAAAUCUGGAACUUUUGUCCAGCAAUCUCCACGAAGACCUAUUUUUCCGAGUGAAUUUAAAGUGCCGCCUUUAAAAGAACUGUAUCUUUGCAAAGAUAUUCGAGAAAUUAAGUGGACAAUUUUCGGUUUUAUCUCUUCAAUGAGCGAUGAAAAAAUUACAGCAAUAAAAAGGCUUCCAAAAAAAUAUCUCCUCACCAGUACCACCCUAUAUACUUUGGUAAAGGAAGAAUUUCUCACAGAAAAACAGGCUGAUGGAAUUCUGUACACUGAAUAUGAAGCUAUUGAUGCAAAACUGGAAUACCCCGAAAAGUUGAGCGUUGAACAUGUUCGAGCAGCUCAUAUUUACAAUAAUACGUUUCCACACGUAAAAAAGUGCUUUAUUAUUGCGGGUUUGAACGUUUCGGUGCAGAUGAUGAUUUAAUCCAUUUUUAAAAGCACAUUAUCUAUUAAAUAUCUUGGUUUUUGUCUAAUUUAUAGGGGCUGUCACAAUUUGACGGUGUAUACUUCCAGAAGACUAUGGAAAGGGUCGAUUUGAUGAACCCUAACGAAUACGAACGUUUCAUCGCUCCAAUCCGCAAAUAUCGAAUUUAUGACAGAAUUUAAUAACUUUUCUAUCGCUUUUUUAUAUUUUUAUAUUUCCAUCAUAAUAAUCAAAGGAAUUGAACUAUUUUUGAUAAAUUGAAGUAAAAUUUAUGCAUACCAAAAGGGAAAUUUCAAGAUGAAGCCAUGACAAAUAUAUUCACAACUUUUUUAUAAUAAAGAUCUGAUAUAUUGUGAUAUCAGUAUUAAAAUG